rnacentral:rRNA from 1 species
GACGUAGGGCGCGAGCGUUGUCCGGAUUUAUUAGGCGUAAAGGGCUCGUAGGCGGCUUGUCGCGUCGACUGUGAAAACCCGAGGCUCAACUUCGGGCUUGCAGUCGAUACGGGCAGGCUAGAGUUCGGUAGGGGAGACUGGAAUUCCCGGUGUAGCGGUGAAAUGCGCAGAUAUCAGGAGGAACACCGAUGGCGAAGGCAGGUCUCUGGGCCGAUACUGACGCUGAGGAGCGAAAGCGUGGGGAGCGAACAGG